rnacentral:rRNA from 1 species
GAUGAACGCUGGCGGCGUGCCUAAUACAUGCAGGUCGAGCGAACAGACGAGAAGCUUGCUUCUCUGAUGUUAGCGGCGGACGGGUGAGUAACACGUGGAUAACCUACCUAUAAGACUGGGAUAACUUCGGGAAACCGGGGCUAAUACCGGAUGAUAUUUUGAACCGCAUGGUUCAAAAGUGAAAGACGGUCUUGCUGUCACUUAUAGAUGGAUCCGCGCUGCAUUAGCUAGUUGGUAAGGUAACGGCUUACCAAGGCAACGAUGCAUAGCCGACCUGAGAGGGUGAUCGGCCACACUGGAACUGAGACACGGUCCAGACUCCUACGGGAGGCAGCAGUAGGGAAUCUUCCGCAAUGGGCGAAAGCCUGACGGAGCAACGCCGCGUGAGUGAUGAAGGUCUUCGGAUCGUAAAACUCUGUUAUUAGGGAAGAACAUAUGUGUAAGUAACUGUGCACAUCUUGACGGUACCUAAUCAGAAAGCCACGGCUAACUACGUG